rnacentral:rRNA from 1 species
CGGUGUUCAACUGGCGUGUCCGCGGGACGUCCUGCCGGUGGGCUUAGCCCGCAAGGGCGGCCCAACUUCAAAUCCCAUCGCGGUGCUCUUCACUGAGUGUCGAGGUGGGCCGGCACGUUUACUUUGAACAAAUUAGAGUGCUUAAAGCAGGCUAAAACUUCGCCUGAAUACUGUGUGCAUGGAAUAAUGGAAUAGGACCUCGGUUCUAUUUUGUUGGUUUUCGGAACCCCGAGGUAAUGAUUAAUAGGAACGGAUGGGGGCAUUCGUAUUGCGACGUUAGAGGUGAAAUUCUUGGAUCGUCGCAAGACGGACAGAAGCGAAAGCAAUUGCCAAAAACGCUUUCAUUGAUCAAGAACGAAAGUUAGAGGUUCGAAGGCGAUCAGAUACCGCCCUAGUUCUAACCAUAAACGAUGCCAGCUAGCGAUCCGUCGACGUUCCUCCGAUGACUCGACGGGCAGCUUCCGGGAAACCAAAGCUUUUGGGUUCCGGGGGAAGUAUGGUUGCAAAGCUGAAACUUAAAGGAAUUGACGGAAGGGCACCACCAGGAGUGGAGCCUGCGGCUUAAUUUGACCCAACACGGGAAACCUCACCAGGCCCGGACACCGGAAGGAUUGACAGAUUGAGAGCUCUUUCUUGAUUCGGUGGGUGGUGGUGCAUGGCCGUUCUUAGUUGGUGGAGCGAUUUGUCUGGUUAAUUCCGAUAACGAACGAGACUCUAGCCUGCUAACUAGGCGUAUUUUCGACAUCUCAAAGGUCCGUCGUCCCGGCCCUCGGGUCGUGGGCGUGCGCGAUUUUUACUGUCGGCGUACUAUCAAUUCUUCUUAGAGGGACAGGUGGCUUCUAGCCGCACGAGAUUGAGCAAUAACAGGUCUGUGAUG